GCUCAGAAUCAACGCUGGCGGCGUGCCUAACACAUGCAAGUUGAGCGCUUGAGGGGGGGCAACCCCCCAAGAGAGCAGCGAACGGGUGAGUAACGCGUGGGUGAUCUUCCUUCGAGUGGGGAACAACAUCGGGAAACUGGUGCUAAUUCCGCAUAAUAUCCUCGGGCCACGAGCCUGGGGAUCAAAGCCGGGGACCGCAAGGCCUGGCGCUUGAAGAUGAGCCCGCGUCCGAUUAGCUAGUUGGCGGGGUAAUGGCCCACCAAGGCUCCGAUCGGUAGCCGGCCUGAGAGGGCGGACGGCCACACUGGAACUGAGACACGGUCCAGACUCCUACGGGAGGCAGCAGUGGGGAAUUUUUCGCAAUGGGCGCAAGCCUGACGAAGCAACGCCGCGUGGAGGAUGAAGGUCUUCGGAUUGUAAACUCCUGUCGACCGGGACGAAUGCACUCGACCUAAUACGUCGGAAUGUUGACGGUACCGGUGGAGGAAGCCACGGCUAACUCUGUGCCAGCAGCCGCGGUAA
rnacentral:rRNA from 1 species